rnacentral:rRNA from 1 species
AUUGAACGCUGGCGGAAUGCUUUACACAUGCAAGUCGAACGGCAGCACGGGUGCUUGCACCUGGUGGCGAGUGGCGAACGGGUGAGUAAUACAUCGGAACGUACCCUGACGUGGGGGAUAACGUAGCGAAAGUUACGCUAAUACCGCAUACGUCCUGAGGGAGAAAGCAGGGGAUCGUAAGACCUUGCGCGUUAGGAGCGGCCGAUGGCGGAUUAGCUAGUUGGUAGGGUAAAGGCCUACCAAGGCGACGAUCCGUAGCGGGUCUGAGAGGACGACCCGCCACACUGGAACUGAGAAACGGUCCAGACUCCUACGGGAGGCAGCAGUGGGGAAUUUUGGACAAUGGGCGAAAGCCUGAUCCAGCCAUUCCGCGUGAGUGAAGAAGGCCUUCGGGUUGUAAGGCUCUUUCGGCAGGGAAGAAACGGUUUUGGAUAAUACCCAGAACUAAUGACGGUACCUGAAGAAGAAGCACCGGCUAACUACGUGCCAGCAGCCGCCGCCG